AUUGAACGCUGGCGGCAUGCUUUACACAUGCAAGUCGAACGGUAACAGGCCGCAAGGUGCUGACGAGUGGCGAACGGGUGAGUAAUGCAUCGGAACGUGCCCAGUCGUGGGGGAUAACGCAGCGAAAGCUGUGCUAAUACCGCAUACGAUCUAUGGAUGAAAGCGGGGGACCGUAAGGCCUCGCGCGAUUGGAGCGGCCGAUGUCAGAUUAGCUAGUUGGUGGGGUAAAGGCCCACCAAGGGGACGAUCUGUAGCUGGUCUGAGAGGACGACCAGCCACACUGGGACUGAGACACAGCCCAGACUCCUACGGGAGGCAGCAGUGGGGAAUUUUGGACAAUGGGCGCAAGCCUGAUCCAGCAAUGCCGCGUGCAGGAAGAAGGCCUUCGGGUUGUAAACUGCUUUUGUACGGAACGAAACGGUCUGGGUUAAUACCCUGGGCUAAUGACGGUACCGUAAGAAUAAGCACCGGCUAACUACGUGCCAGCCGCCGCCGUAA
rnacentral:rRNA from 1 species